GGUAAGAUGGCUGAGUUUUAAGUGGUGGGUUGUAGCCCCAUAAAGAGAGGUUCGAGUCCCCUUCUUAUCA
rnacentral:tRNA from 1 species